AGAGUUUGAUCAUGGCUCAGGACGAACGCUGGCGGCGUGCUUAACACAUGCAAGUCGAACGGGGAUUUUUAUUUCGGUAGAAAUUCUAGUGGCAAACGGGUGAGUAACGCGUAGACAACCUGCCUUUCCGAUGGGGACAACAGUUCGAAAGGACUGCUAAUACCGAAUGACGUGUCUCCUCCGCAUGGAAGAGAUACCAAAGACGGCCUCUAUUUAUAAGCUGUCGCGGAAAGAUGGGUCUGCGUCUGAUUAGCUUGUUGGAGGGGUAACGGCCCACCAAGGCGACGAUCAGUAGCCGGUCUGAGAGGAUGAACGGCCACAUUGGGACUGAGAAACGGCCCAAACUCCUACGGGAGGCAGCAGUGGGGAAUCUUCCGCAAUGGACGAAAGUCUGACGGAGCAACGCCGCGUGAGUGAAGAAGGUCUUCGGAUCGUAAAGCUCUGUUGUACGGGACGAAUGUUGAAGGCGUGAAUAAUGCCAUUAAAUGACGGUACUGUACGAGGAAGCCACGGCUAACUACGUGCCAGCAGCCGCGGUAAUACGUAGGUGGCGAGCGUUGUCCGGAAUUAUUUGGGCGUAAAGGGAGCGCAGGUGGGAANGUAAAGUCUGUUUUAAAAGCGUCGGGNCUCAACCCGAUGAGGGAACAGAAACUAUUUUUUCUUGANUGCAANGANAAGAAAGCGGAAUUCCUANUGUACCGGNGAAAUGCGUANNAUAUUUANGGAGGAACCCCCCGNGGGCGAAGGCGGNUUUUUUGGGACUGGNACUGGACACCNGAGGCUUCGAAANGCCCAGGGGGNCCUGGGCCGNUAANCGANGGANUANUAGGUGUAGGNAGGUAUCGNCCCCUUUNUGGGNGNGAAGNUNACGGNNAUNAGGUAUCCCCGCCUGGGGNGUGCNGAUCGCAAGAANUGAAAACUCAAAAGGAANUGACGGGGGGCCCGCNCAAGCGGUGGAGUAUGUGGUUNAAUUUCGACGCAACGCAAAAGAACCUUNCCAGGGGCUUUGACCAUUGAGGUGAAAAGGGGCUAGAGAUAGGCUCCCCUUAUCUUCGGAUAACACAAAAACAGGUGGUGCAUGGCUGUCGUCAGCUCGUGUCGUNAGAUGUUGGGUUAAGUCCCGCAACGAGCGCAACCCCUAUUUUCUGUUGCCAGCACGUCAAGGUGGGAACUCAGAAGAGACUGCCGCGGAGAACGCGGAGGAAGGUGGGGAUGACGUCAAGUCAUCAUGCCCCUUAUGACCUGGGCUACACACGUACUACAAUGGGAUGAACAGAAGGAAGCAAGAGAGCGAUCUGGAGCGAAACCUAUAAAUCAUCUCUCAGUUCGGAUUGCAGGCUGAAACCCGCCUGCAUGAAGUCGGAAUCGCUAGUAAUCGCAGGUCAGCAUACUGCGGUGAAUACGUUCCCGGGCCUUGUACACACCGCCCGUCACACCACGGAAGUCAUUCACACCCGAAGCCGGUGGGCGAACCGAAAGGACGCAGCCGUCUAAGGUGGGGGCGAUGACUGGGGUGAAGUCGUAACAAGGUAGCC
rnacentral:rRNA from 1 species